GAUGAAGAACGUAGCGAAAUGCGAUAAGGAGUGUGAAUUGCAGAAUUCAGUGAAUCAUCGAAUCUUUGAACGCACAUUGCGCCCUUUGGUAUUCCUUAGGGCAUGCCUGUUCGAGCGUCAUUUAAACCUUCAAGCUAAGCUUGGUGUUGGGUGACUGUCCGCCUCACGGCGGACUCGCCUCAAAAUUAUUGGCGGCCGGUACAUUGGCUUCGAGCGCAGCAGAAACGCGAACUCGGGCCCGUCGUAUUGGCUCCCAGAAGCUAUCUUCACAAUUUUGACCUCGGAUCAGGUAGGGAUACCCGCUGAACUUAAGCAUAUCAAUAAGCGGAGGA
rnacentral:misc_RNA from 1 species